AUGAGCCAGAAAGCUCUUUAUAUUAAUGACCAAUUCUAUUCUGGUGUCGACCUAAAAGUGGCUAGUUCAUUCCGUCUGUCAAUCAAAGACCUCCCUUGUCAUCAAUUAAUCUCAAAGUUCUUCGAGAACUAGAAAUGCAGAACCUUCGGCGAUUUAACGUGAUAUUAGAUCCAGUGGACUCUUUUGAACCCCUUUCGAAGCUCUUUAGAUUCACUUAAAACUGUCUUGCUCUCGGACCUAGAAAGGACUAUCCACCAUAAAACUGAUUGUCACCAAAUCUAAAAACAUGAAGAACCUACACCCUCCAAAAAGGAACAGAUCUCUCAAGUCACUCCAAACUACUGCCCAAUCCGCAUUUCACCACCAAAAACCACCGCAGUGCUUCCAAAAAUUUAAAGAAAUGUGACACUAGCUCCAAAAUACCGAGAGCCACAUCUCAACCACCGCUCUCCAAAACCGCAAUCGCUCCAGCCACA
rnacentral:lncRNA from 1 species